rfam:Halomicrobium mukohataei DSM 12286, complete genome.
GUUUCAGACGGACUCUUGUGGGAUUGAAGC